rnacentral:rRNA from 1 species
GAUAAACGCUAGCGGCAGGCCUAAUACAUGCAAGUCGAGGGGUAUCCCGCUUUCGGGCGGGAGAGACCGGCGCACGGGUGCGUAACGCGUAUGCAACCUACCCAUAUCUGGGGGAUAGCCCGGAGAAAUCCGGAUUAACACCGCAUAAAAUCACAGUACGGCAUCGUACAAUGAUCAAAUAUUGAUAGGAUAUGGAUGGGCAUGCGUGUCAUUAGCUGGUUGGCGGGGUAACGGCCCACCAAGGCGACGAUGACUAGGGGACCUGAGAGGAUGGCCCCCCACACUGGUACUGAGACACGGACCAGACUCCUACGGGAGGCAGCAGUAAGGAAUAUUGGUCAAUGGGCGGAAGCCUGAACCAGCCAUGCCGCGUGCAGGAAGACGGCCCUCUGGGUUGUAAACUGCUUUUAUUCGGGAAUAAACCUGCAUACGUGUAUGCAGCUGAACGUACCGAAGGAAUAAGGAUCGGCUAACUCCGUGCCAGCAGCCGCAGUAA